GACGAACGCUGGCGGCGUGCUUAACACAUGCAAGUCGAACGGAAAGGCCCUGCUUUUGUGGGGUGCUCGAGUGGCGAACGGGUGAGUAACACGUGAGUAACCUCCCCUUGACUUUGGGAUAACUUCAGGAAACUGGGGCUAAUACCGGAUAGGAUCUCCUGCUGCAUGUUGGGGGUUGGAAAGUUUCGGCGGUGGGGGCUGGUCUCGCGGCUUAUCAGCUUGUUGGUGGGGUAGUGGCUUACCAAGGCUUCGACGGGUAGCCGGCCUGGGAGGGUGACCGGCCACAUUGGGCCUGAGAUACGGACCAGACGCCUACGGGAGGCAGCAGUGGGGAAUAUGGCACAGUGGGCGGGAGCCAGAGGCAGCAGCGCCGCGUGCGGGAUGACGGCUUUCGGGUGGUGAACCGCUUUCGCCUGUGACGAAGCGUGAGUGACGGUAAUGGGUAAAGAAGCACCGGCUAACUACGUG
rnacentral:rRNA from 1 species